CACACCUAAUCUACUGGAUAGUAAACAGUUACUUGGAUAACUGCGGUAAUUCUGGAGCUAAUACAUGCACAAAGCCGCGACUCACGAAGCGGCGCUUUUAUUAGAUCAAAACCAAACGGCUUCGGCUGUACUCAUGGUGACUCUGAAUAACUUUGGGCUGAUCGCAUAGCCUUGAGCUGGCGACAUAUCCUUCGAAGGUGUGCCCUAUCAACUUUCGACUGUGGCAUAGACGCCCACAGUGGUUUUGACGGGUAACGGGGAAUCAGGGUUCGAUUCCGGAGAGGGAGCCUUAAAAACGGCUACCACAUCUAAGGAAGGCAGCAGGCACGCAAAUUACCCAAUGACCGAAGGUCGAGGUA
rnacentral:rRNA from 1 species